rnacentral:rRNA from 1 species
CCUACGGGAGGCAGCAGUGGGGGAUAUUGCACAAUGGGGGGAACCCUGAUGCAGCGACGCCGCGUGGGUGAAGGAGUGCUUCGGCAUGUAAAGCCCUAUCGGCAGGGAAGAAGCAAGACGGUACCUGACUAAGAAGCACCGGCUAACUACGUGCCAGCAGCCGCGGUAAUACGUAGGGGGCGAGCGUUAUCCGGAUGCACUGGGUGGAAAGGGAGCGUAGACGGCCAUGCAAGCCAGGGGUGAAAGCCCGGGGCCCAACCCCGGGACUGCCCUUGGAACUGCAUGGCUGGAGUGCGGGAGGGGCAGGCGGAAUUCCUGGUGUAGCGGUGAAAUGCGUAGAUAUCAGGAGGAACACCGGCGGCGAAGGCGGCCUGCUGGACCGCGACUGACGUUGAGGCUCGAAAGCGUGGGGAGCGAACAGGAUUAGAUACCCCAGUAGUC